rnacentral:rRNA from 1 species
ACAAUGGAGAGUUUGAUCCUGGCUCAGGAUGAACGCUAGCUACAGGCUUAACACAUGCAAGUCGAGGGGAAACGAUAGAGAAAGCUUGCUUUUUCUAGGCGUCGACCGGCGCACGGGUGAGUAACGCGUAUCCAACCUGCCCACCACUUGGGAAUAACCUUGCGAAAGUAAGACUAAUACCCAAUGAUAUCUCUAGAAGACAUCUGACGGAGAUUAAAGAUUUAUCGGUGAUGGAUGGGGAUGCGUCUGAUUAGCUUGUUGGCGGGGUAACGGCCCACCAAGGCGACGAUCAGUAGGGGUUCUGAGAGGAAGGUCCCCCACAUUGGCACUGAGACACGGUCCAAACUCC